rnacentral:rRNA from 1 species
AACGAACGCUGGCGGCAGGCUUAACACAUGCAAGUCGAACGCCCCGCAAGGGGAGUGGCAGACGGGUGAGUAACGCGUGGGAACAUACCCUUUCCUGCGGAAUAGCGCUGGGAAAAUGGAAUUAAUACCGCAAGCGCGCUACGGGGGAAAGAUUUAUCGGGGAAGGAUUGGCCCGCGUUGGAUGAGCUAGUUGGUGGGGUAAAGGCCUACCAAGGCGACGAUCCAUAGCUGGUCAGAGAGGAUGAUCAGCAACAUUGGGACUGAGACACGGCCCAAACUCCUACGGGAGGCAGCAGUGGGGAAUAUUGGACAAUGGGCGCAAGCCUGAUCCAGCCAUGCCGCGUGAGUGAUGAAGGCCUUAGGGUUGUAAAGCUCUUUCACCGAUGAAGAUAAUGACGGUAGUCGGAGAAGAAGCCCCGGCUAACUUCGUGCCAGCAGCCGCCGUAAUAC